GACGAACGCUGGCGGCGUGCUUAACACAUGCAAGUCGAACGAGAAAGCCCUUCGGGGUAAGUACAGUGGCGAACGGGUGAGUAACACGUGGGCAACCUGCCCCAGAGAGCGGGACAACCCGGGGAAACCCGGGCUAAUACCGCAUGAUGCGUCUCCACUUAAGUGGAGCCGCCAAUUGGUAGCUUCGGCCUCCGCUCUGGGAUGGGCCCGCGCCGGAUAGGCUAGUUGGUUGGGGUAACGGCCCACCAAGGCGACGAUCCGUAGCUGGUCUGAGAGGACGAUCAGCCACACUGGGACUGAGACACGGCCCAGACUCCUACGGGAGGCAGCAGUGGGGAAUCUUGCGCAAUGGGCGAAGGCCUGACGCAGCAACGCCGCGUGGGGGAAGAAGGCCUUCGGGUUGUAAACCUCUUUCAGUAGGGACGAAGCUUCCGGGGUUAAUAGCCUACGGGGUGACGGUACCUACAGAAGAAGCCCCGGCUAACUACGUGCCAGCCGCCGCCGUAA
rnacentral:rRNA from 1 species